GGUCGGAUGGCGUAGUUGGUUAUCGCAUCUGUCUAACACACAGAAGGUCCCCAGUUCGAGCCUGGGUUCGAUCA